rnacentral:rRNA from 1 species
AAAUAGAUACCCGGGGUAGUCCACGCCCUAAACGAUGUCUACUAGUUGUCGGGGGAUUAAUUUCCUUGGUAACGCAGCUAACGCGGGAAGUAGACCGCCUGGGGAGUACGGUCGCAAGAUUAAAACUCAAAGGAAUUGACGGGGACCCGCACAAGCGGUGGAUGAUGUGGAUUAAUUCGAUGCAACGCGAAAAACCUUACCUACGCUUGACAUGUCCGGAAUCCUGCAGAGAUGUGGGAGUGCCCGAAAGGGAGCCGGAACACAGGUGCUGCAUGGCUGUCGUCAGCUCGUGUCGUGAGAUGUUGGGUUAAGUCCCGCAACGAGCGCAACCCUUAUCAUUAGUUGCUACGCAAGGGCACUCUAAUGAGACUGCCGGUGACAAACCGGAGGAAGGUGGGGAUGACGUCAAGUCCUCAUGGCCCUUAUGCGUAGGGCUUCACACGUCAUACAAUGGUCGGUACAGAGGGCUGCCAACCCGCGAGGGGGAGCCAAUCCCAUAAAACCGAUCGUAGUCCGGAUUGCAGUCUGCAACUCGACUGC